AGGUUUAAGGAUCGUUAGACCCACCAUUUGAUUUGCAAUCAAAUAUCUUUUUAAACC
rnacentral:tRNA from 1 species